GGAGAGAUGGCAGAGUGGUUGAAUGCAGCUGCCUUGAAAGCAGCCGUCCGGGCAACCGGACCGUGGGUUCAAAUCCCACUCUCUCCGCCA
rnacentral:tRNA from 1 species